AGCGAACGCUGGCGGCAGGCCUAACACAUGCAAGUCGAGCGCCCAGCAAUGGGAGCGGCAGACGGGAGAGUAACACGUGGGAACGUGCCUUUUGGUUCGGAAUAACUCAGGGAAACUUGAGCUAAUACCGGAUAAGCCCUUACGGGGAAAGAUUUAUUGCCAAAAGAGCGGCCCGCGUCCGAUUAGCUAGUUGGUGAGGUAAUGGCUCACCAAGGCGACGAUCGGUAGCUGGUCGAGAGGAUGACCAGCCUCAUUGGGACUGAGACACGGCCCAAACUCCUACGGGAGGCAGCAGUGGGGAAUAUUGGACAAUGGGCGCAAGCCUGAUCCAGCCAUGCCGCGUGAGUGAUGAAGGCCUUAGGGUUGUAAAGCUCUUUUAGCAGGGAAGAUAAUGACGGUACCUGCAGAAAAGCCCCGGCUAACUUCGUGCCAGCAGCCGCAGUAAG
rnacentral:rRNA from 1 species